GGAUAAUUUCAGAGCAUGGUAAGUGAUCUACAGAGAGGUGGGAAGUGACUGGAAAUGGAGCUGGUUUAGACAGGCUGGCACGUUCCGGAGGACACAGCAUCUGAAUGGAGAAAGGAAAACAAAGACGCAAGCUUGGAGUUGGUGUCUCUUCCGGGAGAAUAUUUCCGGGCACCAUCAUUCCUCCUGCCCUUCUGAAGUUCCCUCUAGGUGGUGGCCACUGACCAGCCAGGUGUUACCAUCCCUGCACACUUGAACCGCUGCAAAGCAAAAGAUUCUCAGCAGACAGAGGUGAGUUGAAAGGGAUCUUUGAUUCCCCUCCUGACUUGGUGUUACAUUCUGUUAGAGAG
rnacentral:lncRNA from 1 species